rnacentral:rRNA from 1 species
AUUGAACGCUGGCGGAAUGCUUUACACAUGCAAGUCGAACGGUAGAGGGGGCAACCCCUUGAGAGUGGCGAACGGGUGAGUAAUAUAUCGGAACGUGCCCAGUCGUGGGGGAUAACGUAGUGGAAAUUACGCUAAUACCGCAUACGAUCUAAGGAUGAAAGCGGGGGAUCGCAAGACCUCGCGCGAUUGGAGCGGCCGAUAUCAGAUUAGGUAGUUGGUGGGGUAAAGGCCCACCAAGCCAACGAUCUGUAGCUGGGCUGAGAGGACGACCAGCCACACUGGAACUGAGACACGGUCCAGACUCCUACGGGAGGCAGCAGUGGGGAAUUUUGGACAAUGGGCGCAAGCCUGAUCCAGCCAUUCCGCGUGCAGGAUGAAGGCCCUCGGGUUGUAAACUGCUUUUGUACAGAACGAAAAGGUUUCUACUAAUACUAGGAGCUCAUGACGGUACUGUAAGAAUAAGCACCGGCUAACUACGUGCCAGCCGCCGCGGUAA